UUAUAUAAAUUUAUUUAAAUGGUCUAUGGAUCCCAUUAGAACUCUAUAGUUAGGCCUACUUGGGCUAGAGCAGUACUGGGAUGGGUGAACUCCCAAAAAGUCUUAGUGUUUACAUGCU
rnacentral:rRNA from 1 species